ensembl:lncRNA
GUUUUUAUUACAAGCGGAUUUCUAUAUAGUCCAUAUUAAAAAAAUGGGUAAAGACUCCAGAGUUGGUAAUAUAGCCCUAACAGUGUGUACAUUUUCCUUUUACAUACAGGAAAGUUCUGUUUGCAUGAGUUUUGUGGUAGUACAAAAAUAAUGUAUAAAUCGGUGAGGUUUGGGGGAAUGAAGGAAAAUUAUGACAUGCAUAACUGUAAUCAAAAUGGACUCAUGACAUUUCACUGUCUUGAUUCAGCAAAUAGUAAUGGGUGUUGAUCAUCAGUGGUUAGGCAGGGUGCUAGGCCCUGGCCUAUGGCGAUGCCAGUGUAGCCUGGCCUUGAAAAAAACCCAGCAAGUAUUGUAAAUGGAUUGAAAUUUGCAAAUAAACAGCUUCUGAAAUGUGUUUAACUGACUAAAGUGGCCAUGCCAACCCGCUAACCCACAAAAAGUAAUUGUUCAUUUUGUAGUCAUUUAUUCAGCCGGGACUUACAGUUGCAUGUUACAUAUAACUUUUCCCCUGGGGUAAGUCGUGCUAUAAGUGUAUUCAAUUUUGCUGUACUUAGUGCCAUACUUGGUCGUAGAAGGAUUAUUUUUGGUUCAGUUUAGUUUGCAUUCAAGAAACAUUCCUCGGUGAGUUUGUUGGGGGGAAAAAAUAGUCUUCAAGUGGAAUUAUGGGUAAUUUUGCUCAAUUUUGAUCAGUGCUGUUUUCACAUAAUGCUCCACACAUCCUUUUUCAUAAGUGGUGAAAACUUGAUUGGGUCAAUCAUCUGUUUUCCCUCAGGUUAAAAGACAUGUAGCUUUUAUAGAAGUUUACUUUUAUAUAUCAACUUCACAUUUUAAAUCAAUACCUAAAAACUGCGUAUACACAGCCAAGAGAAUAUUAUGUGGAUCGCGUGUAGAAAACUUAGAACCGAACCUACUGACGCACCACCAUUCAAAGAAAAACAGAGCUUUGUCAUUUGUUACCUCUCUCGUUGGUUAUUAUUUUUGUUGAGGAGUGUGCUGUUCUAUUUGGUUAUUACUUUUUAACUUGUUACCAGCACUUAUCAAACAGUUGUUGCAAAAAGCUUGUGGUCAUGUUUCAUGGACAGUUUUUUAAAAUAAUUCUGUGCAGAGCACUCAAAGCCUUGUGCUAUAAUAUAAAGAUGGUAUGGUGGUGCUGCUUCUUCCAGUCUCUAGGACAAGCUCCCAUGGAAGUUGGAACUUCAUAGGCCAGAAUUUCUAAAAGUAAGGCAAGAAGAUUAUAAAGUCGGGGGCCAUUUCCAUGUUAAAAGCAGGAUGGUUUUGCUAUGCAAUGAAGGUUACUGUCUAAAACUGACUAGCAGCCUUUUACGAUCUUUCUGUUUCAACCUAUUGCGAGUAUCUCAGGGGAUUUUCAUCCUUAACGAAGUGUGAAUUGCUCCAGCCAGGCAAAACCAUGCCCUGAUCCUUGGAGUUUCGACUGAGGAGAAUAUUUCCAGGCAUUUUCUUACUGUAACCCAGAGUUUCUC